rnacentral:rRNA from 1 species
AUGCGAGAUCCAUGGGCAAUCAAACCACGACGCGUCACUGCAACCCGGGGGACCUCCGACGGUGACUCUCGAGUCGCCGGCGGCUUCCCCGGUCACGGGUAUGGCCAUGAUCCCGUCUCUGAAUCCUUUCCCCUCACCUUCUCAAUUACUGACGGCGAUGGGGCAAGCACCUCAGCCGAUCUCGUUUCCCAGUUUCGCGGGCAAGAAUCCGCAGCUCUGGAAGACGCUUGCGGAGCAGUAUUUUCAGAUGUUUGCGGUUCAGGAGUCGUACUGGGUUCCCAUGGCAAUUCUGAAUUUCUCGGGUCCAGCUGCAAUCAAUGCACCACAAGGUCGCUGGCCUGGCGUGGGAUUCGUUCACGGCCCUGUUGUGCACUCGAUUUGGCCGCGAUAAGCAUCAGUUUCUCAUAUGUCAGUUCUAUGCUAUUAGACAGACGAAUUCAGUUCAGAUUGCAUUGCACGCUUUAA